rnacentral:lncRNA from 1 species
GGCCUCCUGGGCUUCGGGGGCGGCCCCGCGGCAUCCGGGUCCGGCCGGCCCGGCUCGGCACCCACACCCCUCCACUCACUCACACUCACACUCACACGCGGCGGCGGGGCCGCGCACGCGCGGGCACCGGGCGGGCGCGCCCAGCCGGCGGCAGAGGCGGCGGAGCGGCCCGGCGGCGGGCGGCGGCCGAGCGCCGCCGGGCUCACGGGGAAAGCGCCCGAACGCGCGCACCGGAGCUCUCGAACCGCCCCGCCUCGGCGGGUCCAUGGCCCGCGGCCCGCGUGGGGGCGUAGGCGCGGGCGCAGUGGGCGGGGGCGGUCGCGGCGCAUGCGCGGGCGCCGCCGCGGGGCCUUCGCGGACGGAGGGGAGCGAGGGGGUCACCGGGCCGGGCCGCGAGCCCUGGAGCUCGGCCAGGCGUGGACCCCGGGCCAGCCCCGCGCCUCUGUGGCCCGGGCGCCUCGUGCGUGUCCGCGAGCUCGCGUGCGCGCGUCACCUCGGACCCCAGCAUGGCUUGGAGGGCGGCCCUACCCGCGCCGCCCUAGUGCUGCGAAGGGCCUGGGAGCCCAAACCCGGAACCACCACCUGGGACUGGGAAGACGACAUGGUCAGAAGUCGAUCACCGAUAGCACGGAACUGCCCCUCUCCGGGGAGGUAGGGUACACAGAGGGCAGCCACCUCGAAAGAGAAGACAGCCCUCUCCAAGCCGCUUCAAUCCUCAACACAGCCAGCCUAUUGCCGGCCAGUCUUCAUCUGGAGCCCAAGCCGAGAACUCCUGGACGCCACGACCGUGCCACGCCCCUGCCGCCCAGCGGGCAGGCAUUCCCCAGCUUCACGCAGCUCUCCCUUCUCUCCUUCAGCCCCUGCCACUGUGAAGUAUUUCCAGGCUCAGGCCACUGUGGGCACUAGGGGAGUCACGUUUCCGACCUUCUGGCUUGAAUACAGUCCUCCAUACAGGCAGGUUCCGGAUGGACUACGUUUGAGGUGAGCUCAACUGUAAAUCGAGCAAUACAACUUUGUGCAAGGGAAAGACAGCAAGUUUGGAGGCAUGUGUGUGUGUGUGAGAGAGAGAGAGAGAGAGACAGCGAGAGAGAGAGAAAGGUGUGGAGGAGGAAGCAGCUGGGGUGAUGCCAUGCUUUGUUUUUGGAACAUUAUUAUUUUCUCUUCUUUCCCUAAAGAACAGCACUUUAAAAAUCAAUUAUUUAAUUCUGAAAGAGCCCCAUGGCAUUUUAACUAUAUAAAAUUAGUCAUGAUGACAUUAAUCCUGAUUCGGGAACCUAGCCGAUCAAACCAUUGUGCUCCUCCGGAAUGGCUGGAAUAAGAACACUACCUUGGCAGUCGUCUCUGCAGUGAUUAACACUUAUGUCAUCCUGAAGCAGUGAUUACUUUACAUCUGAUCUCAGUGUGAUCCCGCCUGCAAAUUUCCCAGGGAAGGAAAAAAAAAGAUUCUGCAAUAUUGUCAAAAAUAAUGCUAUUGUCAGAAGUAAUGGUCUCUGAAAGUCGUAUUUCAUAUUUAGUACAAUUUUUUUGGCUUCCUCUGAGUGCAAACACAGAGAACGUGAAUUCGAGUAACCUCGCUAUAUUUCAGCUCCAGUCUCUAAGGCAAAAUGUACCUCUCAAAGCUAUUUAUUUUUUUAUUUCUUACUGGCAUUUUAUGUUGAGAGAAUGAAGGGUAAAGUAAAAGAGGUUUUAACAUUUCAUGGCUCUGUGUUUAGGGGAAAAACUUAAAAUCUAAAUGUUAUUUUACUUCCUGCCUUCCAUUCUGUCUUUCUUUCCCAUUUUCUUUUCUCUUAAAAAUUUUCCUCCUCAUUUCAUUCCCUGUGACUUUCAUCUGUUUAUUAAAACAUUACAGGUUCUUGAAUCAGAGUUUUGGUUAAACAUGGUAGACUGCACACACAUGCUACCUCAGCAUCCUCCUGAAACCUUACCAAAAUGACCAUAAGAGGAAAAAAUGUUAUAAGCCCAUAAGAACAAAGAAAAUGAGGCCAGGCGUGGUGGCUCAUGCCUGUAAUCUCAGUACUUUGGGAGCCUAAGGCGGGCAGAUCACCUGAGGUCAGGAGUUCAAGACCAGCCUGGCCAACAUGGCACAACCAUGUCUCGACUAAAAGUACAAAAAUUAGCUGGGCAUGGUGGUGUGCAUCUGUAAUCCCAGGUACUCGGGAGGCUGAGGCAGGAGAAUUGCUUGAACCAGGGAGUUGGAGGUUGCAGUGAGCUGACAGCAUGCCACUGCAUUCCAGCCUGGUGACAGAGCAAGACUCUGUCAAAAAAAAAAAAAAAAAGAAAAAGAAAAAAGAAAAGAAAAAUGCAAUAUCUGCAAUACCUGUGAUUUUGGGCAAUGGGGAGUAAAUGGCUGAGGAAUACUUGACUUUGUAGUUGGAGAAAACUAAAGCUUUCUUCCCAUUGCCUAAUGGGAAGUAACAGGAUGUGGCUGAGUGUGAAACCCUCAGGGUUGGAGGCAGCGUAGCCUCUGAGAGUUAGUUCAAGGAUAGCUUGAAACCAGGUUGGUCAUCAGAACUUCCAGUUCCCCUCCCACAGUUUGUGUGUAUCGGCGACAACUGACCCAGACAGGAGCAGAGGGGAGUUAUUCUCUGGGGACCCUGUCUCAGGGAGGCUCUGGCCUCGAGGUCUCCAGGCACAGCUGAGGGCGGGGGCCAGGCACGAUGCGAGGGGCUGGCCAGUCCAGCUGAUGGGCCCUGCCAGGCCCGCCGCCUGUUUCUGCAAGGUUUUGUUGGAACAGGGCCACACUCAUCCCCUUUUGUAUUGCCUAUAGCUCCUUUCGCAUUAUAGCACACUACAAGGGCCGAGUGGAGGUGGAGUUUGCAACAGACAGCAGAUGGCCCACAAAGCUUGAAAUAUUUACAAUUGGUUCUUUAGAGAAAAUGUUUUCUGACUCCUACCCUGGAGAGCGAGCCACGGGUCCACCCAAGAACCUCCACCAGCUUUAACUCUCCCUCUUCCAAUCAUGACUUACCCUUCUUAAACAUGGACAAUUAAAUAUUACUAGAUAUCUGAGAAAACAUUUCAGCAAGACAGAGAUGAGGAACUCAGAAAAAAAAGCAUAGGCAGAAAAAGAACAUGUCAAAAAAAUUCUAUAGUUUAUUUCCUGGUAGAGACAGGCGAAUCUAUUUUAUUCAUGAAACAUGAACAAGAUACUGUAUAAAAGGAAUAUUAAAGAAUAAAAAAGUUAUUGGAAAUGAAAAUAUGAAAACAGAAAAAAUAAUUCAAUAGAAAUAUUGGGAGGUAUGGUUGAAGAAAUCUCUCAAAAAGCAAACCAAGAAAGCAGAUGUAAAAGCAGAAGACCAAAUUAGAGGACCAGACAGGGCACAGUGGCUCACACUUGUAAUCCCAGCACUUUGGAAGGCAGAGGCAGGAGGAUCACUUGAGGUCAGGAGUUCGAGACCAGCCCAGCCAACAUGGUGAAACCCCUUCUCUACUAAAAAUACAAAAAUUAGCUGGGCGUGAUGGUGCAUGCCUGCAAUCCCAGCUACUCGGGAAGCAGAGGCAGGAUGUUGCAGUGAGCUGAGAUCAGGCAACUGCACUUGGGUGACAGAGCGAGACCCCGUCUCAAAAAAAAAAAAAAAAAAAAAAAAAAAAAAAAAAAGAUAGAGGAUCAAUUCAGGGUGUCCAACUACUGAUAAAUAAAAUUUCCAGAAAGAAAAAAGAAAACCACGGAGGAAAAAAAUCAUCAAAGAAACAAUUCCAGAAAAGUCCCCCAAAUAAAAGGACAGAGCAAGAUCUUGUCAAAAAAAGGCCGGGCACGGUGGCUCAAGCCUGUAAUCCCAGCACUUUGGGAGGCCGAGACGGGCGGAUCACGAGGUCAGGAGAUCGAGACCAUCCUGGCUAACACAGUGAAACCCCGUCUCUACUAAAAAUACAAAAACUAGCCGGGCGAGGUGGCGGGCGCCUGUAGUCCCAGCUACUCGGGAGGCUGAGGCAGGAGAAUGGCGUAAACCCGGGAGGCGGAGCUUGCAGUGAG